rnacentral:rRNA from 1 species
UACAGAGGCCUCGAGCGUUAAUCGGAAUCACUGGGCUUAAAGCGUGUGUAGGCGGAUCGUUAAGUGCCUUGUGAAAUCCCACGGCUUAACCGUGGAACUGCUCGGCAUACUGGCGGUCUUGAGCCAGCUAGGGGCUACCGGAACAAAUGGUGGAGCGGUGAAAUGCGUAGAUAUCAUUUGGAACGCCAAUGGUGAAAACAGGUAGCUGGGGCUGUGCUGACGCUGAGACACGAAAGCCAGGGGAGCGAACGGG